rnacentral:rRNA from 1 species
AACGAACGCUGGCGGCAGGCCUAACACAUGCAAGUCGAGCGAGGACUUCGGUUCUAGCGGCGGACGGGUGAGUAACGCGUGGGAAUGUGCCCUUCUCUACGGAAUAGCCCUGGGAAACUGGGAGUAAUACCGUAUACGCCCUAUUGGGGAAAGAUUUAUCGGAGAAGGAUCAGCCCGCGUUGGAUUAGGUAGUUGGUGGGGUAAUGGCCUACCAAGCCGACGAUCCAUAGCUGGUCUGAGAGGAUGAUCAGCCACACUGGGACUGAGACACGGCCCAGACUCCUACGGGAGGCAGCAGUGGGGAAUCUUAGACAAUGGGGGCAACCCUGAUCUAGCCAUGCCGCGUGAGUGAUGAAGGCCUUAGGGUUGUAAAGCUCUUUCAGCUGGGAAGAUAAUGACGGUACCAGCAGAAGAAGCCCCGGCUAACUCCGUG